rnacentral:rRNA from 1 species
GGGAUGAAGGCCUCUGGGCUGUAAACCUCUUUUCUCAAGGAAGAAGAACUGACGGUACUUGAGGAAUAAGCCACGGCUAAUUCCGUGCCAGCAGCCGCGGUAAUACGGGAGUGGCAAGCGUUAUCCGGAAUUAUUGGGCGUAAAGCGUCCGCAGGCGGUCUUGAAAGUCUGUUGUUAAAGCGUGGAGCUCAACUCCAUUUCAGCAAUGGAAACUAGAAGACUAGAGUGUGGUAGGGGCAGAGGGAAUUCCCGGUGUAGCGGUGAAAUGCGUAGAUAUCGGGAAGAACACCAGUGGCGAAGGCGCUCUGCUGGGCCAUAACUGACGCUCAUGGACGAAAGCCAGGGGAGCGAAAGGGAUUAGAUACCCCUGUAGUCCUGGCCGUAAACGAUGAACACUAGGUGUCGGGGGAAUCGACCCCCUCGGUGUCGUAGCCAACGCGUUAAGUGUUCCGCCUGGGGAGUACGCACGCAAGUGUGAAACUCAAAGGAAUUGACGGGGGCCCGCACAAGCGGUGGAGUAUGUGGUUUAAUUCGAUGCAACGCGAAGAACCUUACCAGGGUUUGACAUCCUGCGAAUCUUUUGGAAACAGAAGAGUGCCUUCGGGAGCGCAGAGACAGGUGGUGCAUGGCUGUCGUCAGCUCGUGUCGUGAGAUGUUGGGUUAAGUCCCGCAACGAGCGCAACCCACGUCUUUAGUUGCCAGCAUUGAGUUGGGCACUCUAGAGAGACCGCCGGUGAUAAACCGGAGGAAGGUGUGGAUGACGUCAAGUCAUCAUGCCCCUUACAUCCUGGGCUACACACGUACUACAAUGCUACGGACAGAGGGCAGCAAACUCGCGAGAGCUAGCAAAUCCCAUAAACCGUGG